AACAUAAGUCACUACCAACUGUAGAUAGUUUAUAAAACCAGAGAUGCAACCAUAUUUAUUUUACCAAAGAAAAAAAAUCAUAGGGAAAUUAUUGGCCACCAUGUUUGGCAAAUUCACGGCAAAAAGAUGAUGCUUCUCUUUAAGUGGUAGUUAUGAAAGUACCUACACACUGCAUUACUGGGUAGCUUUAGCCAGAUUUCUACUGUCACAAUGAAUAUUUUACAUUUUUUGAGUUAUUGUCGAGUACUGCGGUCUAUGUCCUUAGUUUGUUGAGUGACAAAUCACCAGUGCUUUGCCAAUUGUUAAACAACUUCUACAAAUAUGAUUACAUUAGUUAUAUUUAUGAAUACUGCAUGGCCAUGAACAAAUAUGUGAAAGUUGUAUUUAUCAGCUCAGUAUAAAUAAUAGACCACAAUGGAAAGAGAUGAGACAGCUGUGAAUCUGAGCCCAAAAUAACUUGUAAAUAUCCCACUCAGUGUGUGACUGUCUCUGUUUUUGCUUGUAGCUUUCAGUUGAGUUACUUAUUAAGGCAUGACUAAACACAUCCCUAGCAGCAAAUAUGUGUCAGCGACCGCCGAGUCACUGCUAUUCUGACUAGUGAUGUCAUCAACCGAAGGGGAGCUGGGAAAGGGCAACAUACAAAUUUAAAGGAAAUGGGUGGAAAGUACUGAAUGUUUUUUCUGUUAAAGCUGACAUGUUUAAUUGAACAUGGGUUUAGACAUAGUUGGUCUGUAAUUACAUGGAGCAGCAUGUUUUAGCAUAAUGUGUGUGUAUGCAGACGUAGAAAAAGUUAAAGAUUUCCUUUCAGACAUGUUUCAAGACGUAUCAAAAUAGUCUUCUUUGAAUAAUAAUAAUGAAUGUUUGAGAAAGGUUCAAUUAGAAUAACUAUGAAUAUGCAAAUAUUUGUCAUUUCAAUAGUUCAAAUCCUUUGCCAGAUUUCCACAGCAGCCUUUUCAAAGUUGGGCCGUGAUUGGCUUUCAAACUAGUUGUUAUGUCAAGAAAUGUAAGUACUCAACUUUGCACAUUCAUCAUUCUGCACAGUGAGGGUCAAACAUUCAUGUGAAAUAACAAUAAGAAAAACACAUUUGUGAGUGCAGGGGGACUUAAAGACAUAGUUAUUUAACAAUCUACAAAUGAAUUCAUAAUUGAAUGAAAACAGCUUUGUUUGUAUGUUGACAUGUUUUCGGGGGGUUUUAAACCGUUGCUGUACUUUGAAUGGGUUUCUGAUGAAGAACAUGCUUUGUCAGUGGCCCACUCACAUUCCAGACAUCCAAACCACAGAAACCCAAUACCGUACACAAACACAAACUCAUAUCGCUACCACCAAGCUGACCCAUACACACAGAGUGGGAAUGGGCCGAAGGGGUCUGGACUUUCCAUUUUUGAGGGAUUUUCACCUCUCGUACUUUUAUUUACAAUAUCGGGGGUUUUAACUUUUCUAAAUAAGGUCUUCGCAAUUUUAAAUUAACUUCCAAAUACUCCAAUAUUUAUCUGAUGUUAAGAUGUGCAGUCCCAGAAAACAGAACUUUACAAGGAACGUCAACAGAGUCAAAUUUUAUGUACUACCGUCAAUCUCAAAGUAGACCAUAAAAGGGUCAUUCAGAACAAAUGUGUUCAUAAACUAUGGGUUAUUGGACAGUGGGUAUGAUCUUGCUUGUGACUGUGGGCCAAUCAAACUUUAGUUUUUGGUGACUUAUUAAGUGACAGCCUCAUCUCACCUCAGUUUAUCACCUGCCUCUGACAGUGACAUUUCUCAUCCUGCCCACUUUUAUUUCUUUAUGAUCAGACUUUACAAUAUUCCACACCUUAUCACAUGAAUCUUACAGAAAAGUCUCAGAUGACAGAGAUUACUACCAUAUCAUAUGAAUCUUACAGAAAAGCCUCAGAUGACAGAGAUUACUACCAUAUCACGUGAAUCUUAUUGAAAAGCCUGAGAUCACAAAGAUUAUUGAGGAGAUGAACCAGUCGCUCCUUCACAGCCUUUUAUAACAGCUAUAUAGACAACUGUACAGCUGUGCAAAUAUUAACUUCUGCUACAUCUCAGUAUUGACUGCCAUUAAGUGUUGUCAUGGGAAUGAGUUUUUAUUCUGAAGACACAUAAUGGUGGAAGAAGUAUUCACUUCUUUUACUUACGUUAAAGUAGCAAUAUCACAUUCUGCAUUCAGAAUUUUACUUAAAGGUCCCCUCCAGACAAAAUGAGACACAAAGUACUCAUAGUUAACCAGUGUUAGGGUGCUCCUUCUCCAUGUGUUAGGGCAGGGUGUUAACAUGUAAGCAGUAUUUUAAAGUUGUGGCUCCAGGGAGUGCUGACUAGGACUACUUUGUAUGCCAUAGCAUUGCAUUAAUGUCAUGAGAAAUGGUAUUAUAGUAAUGGGGAUAAUAGUAGCACAAAAAUAUUAAAUACUAUAGAAUGAUAUUUGAAUUAGUGGAUCCAUUUCGAUCCAAAAUGAUGACAUUAGAGCAGACAUACUGGGUGUGGAGGUGCUGUACUUUUGCAGCUGCUACAAGGAGAAACCUCCCAACGUCAAACUUUAAAAGUAUUGAUUAGUGUCUGCGUGUAAAUGAGCUCUGGUAGUAGUUUCGUUCAAUUGAAAGUGGCUUCCACUGGAGAUUGUUUUUUGGGGCGGCGGUUUUGUCCACUCAGCAGUAUGACUUCCCAUCUCAGCCCUGUAGUGUGUAUCUGCUCUCCAUGCGUCCUGCGCUCAGUGCUCACUGUCUCUGCUGCGGCGCCAUGGACUCCAACCCGACUUCCAGCGAAACAUAACUUUUAAAGUGCGUGUCUAAUGUGCAACAUGACGGACUGAGCAGAGCAGUGACUGAUCACUGGUGAAAUUAGACGAGUUCUCCGUGUAGCACUGGGAUCAGGACCAGCGUGACUCCUGCCAGUCUUCAGGAUCCCUACUCAGGGUGUUGUUAUCUGCUGGCUUGAAAGUUCCACGCUGAGAAGUCACAUCACCAUGGAAACGGUCACCAGGAGCCAUGACGCACACAACCAGUCGUCAGUAUUCACCUCGAUCUUCAACUCUAGCUGUCGCUUUGAUGAGGAGUUCAAAUACAUCCUGCUGCCUGUGUCCUACAGUCUGGUGUUUGUGGUUGGCUUCGUGCUCAAUGCCACAGCUUUGUGGCUGUUCUUGAAGAUGCGCCCGUGGAACCCAAGUACAGUGUUCAUGUUCCACCUCGCCCUGUCCGACUUCCUGUACGUCCUCUCACUGCCCACCCUCAUCUACUACUACGCCAACCGCAGCCACUGGCCCUUUGGCGUGGCUGCCUGCAAAAUAGUGCGCUUCCUCUUCUACGCCAACCUCUACUGCAGCAUCCUGCUUCUCACCUGCAUCAGUGUGCACCGCUAUCUGGGCAUCUGCCACCCCAUCAAGGCGCUGACCUUGGUGAAAUCCCGUCACGCCCACCUGGUGUGCGGCAUGGUGUGGGGUGUGGUGACCGUGUGUCUGGUGCCCAACCUCAUCUUCGUCACCACCUCCAGGAGGGACAAUGACACCCUGUGCCAUGACACAACCAACCAGGAGUCCUUUGAGGAGUAUGUGGACUACAGCUCUGUUGUCAUGGUGCUCCUGUUUGGCAUCCCUUUCCUGGUCAUCAUGGUGUGUUACUGCUUGAUGGCGCGGACCCUGUGCCGGCCCAGACGAGGAUUAUCUGCCAGCCAGCGGAGCUCCACCUCACAUCAGAAGUCCAUCAAGCUCAUCAUCGUGGUGUUGGUGGUGUUUGCUGUGAGCUUCGUUCCAUUUCACAUCACGCGGACGCUCUACUACACCUCCCGAGUGUUAGAUCUUAACUGUGAAUUCCUCAACAUUGUCAACUUUACUUACAAGAUCACGAGGCCGCUGGCGAGCGUCAACAGUUGUAUUGACCCAAUUCUUUAUUUCCUGGCUGGUGAUCACUACCGGUCCAAACUGAUGUCUGUUCUGACUGGAAAAAGACAGACGACAAGCAGCCUGAUACCUGAACCGGCACAAACACAGCCGAACAAUAACCUCGGAAUCGCUCUGGUCUACAAGAACCCAGCCCCUAAAGCCAGUGGAGAGAUUGAGAGAUAGUGGGAAUUCUAAAGUAUUAAACAGACACAGGAGGAGACCAGAGGAAGGUAGCCAACAAACCCCCCAGGAAACACGGUAGAGACGAGGGACUUCAAGGACGUGUGGACUUCAAUUUAAUCGAAGAGGCUGAGAGUGGAGUGGAAGAGUGACACACAGAGGAGAGAAGUUCAUUAUUCUGCUGAAAAGGAAACCAAUGGCUUUCACAGUCGCCAUGGUAACUGGCCUUUCUCUUGCCGUCAGACCUAUGAUAAGGUUUGAGUGACAGUCCCCUCACCUAAUGACUGAAUGUAGGCGCUUUCACUGCCUUAGAUGGGCCCACAGUAAGAGAUGAUCCUCUGGGUUGCAUCCCAACAUGUGGUGAGUUUACUAAUCUGCCUGCUUCAUCCUUUCCCCGUUCUCUUUCAUGAUAACUAAAGCUCCACAUAGGGCGUGGAAGAAUUGAAAAGUGAUGACACAGAGCAGCACUUAAGAAAAUCCUAUUUCUCUUACAUAUCAGUACCUGGCCUUUAUUUAUUCUCUGUCCUGAUGCACAUACGGUAGAGUUUACUUUCAUUCUCCUCCUGAAGUAGUGAACACAUCUUCAACAAAUCCAAUUAUUCAUUUCAAGGUUUCCAUCCUCCUUCCAUCAAGGUUUUUAAUCACAUUUAAUUUUUCAACAUAAUAAAAAGGAAUUAGAUGAAAACAAAUAUUAUUUUGUUGAUUGUGGACAGUGUUUGUCAUAAUUCUUCUUAAAUAGAGACUUAAAGCAGCAGCAGAGUGCAAAAAUAUUCUCAUAUUAUUAAUAACGCUGUGAAAAAAGUAUAUUACUUUGACAAUGUUUCAAACUAAAUCAAAGACUCUCAUUAGGUGAAGCUCCUCUUCCUAACAGAUAUGUCACAUAUAUCCUCUAAAAUGCAAUCAGUAAAAAAAAAAAAAAAGGUUUUGUUUGCUAGAAUAACUCAUAAUAUUAAUGUCUGAAUUUCCCAAAACAGAAUCCAGGACUGUAAAUGCAUUUUACAGGGGCCUUUAAAUUUGUUUUAGCAGCUUUAGUAAGAAUUUCCUGACACAAAUUAAUGCACCAUGGCCAUUAUAAAAAAAAUAUGUGAAUCAAAGAUGUGAUAUAAAACAUGUUCAAACGGUUUAAAAAUAAAACAACAAAGAUCCCACACAGUAAAAAAUGUUCCCUCAGCCAUGACUCUGCAUUACACACAGACAUUAAACAUUUUAAGGCUAUUUUUUUGUUAAGCAUUAUUUGUCAACGACAACUCUUAUGGGUCAAAUAAGUCAAAUUACCAUCAGGAAUACUAGCCCUGCUUUGUGGAAUAAAGAGGUGAUAAUAGCAGCACUUUUAUUCCUUUAAAUGACCCGUGAAUAUUAUUUUACCUGUGUUGAACUGGGAGGACGCAACCAUUCACGCCGACACAAUAGGAACAGCAGACCGUGCGUAAAUUGCAUCUUCAUUUGCAUUCCUCGUCCAAAAAUCAUGCAAAUCUUAAUGAGACAGUUUCCAUUGUGGCUGUAAUUGAAAACCCAUUCUUUGUUAAUUACUGUUUCUCAAAGGCCUUGUCCGCAGUCACUGAGCUGAAACAAAAAAAGUUAUUGAUUCUCAGGGUCGUGGGGUUUAAAAUGGACACGUAAAAUAAUGUUGUUUAUUGUGGGUUUGAGAUGCGACUUUCGAUUGUGAGAAAAUAUAUUUGUCUUAUUUGGGAAUUGUCAAAAAUGUGAUGAAAACAAAAAACACUUGUAAACGCUGGCUAUAAACGAUAACAUGGGCAAUAAAAAAAGCAAUAAAUUACAAGCCAUUAUCAGUUACUUAUUUGUAGCUGAAUGGCAGACAUGCAGCGCCUGUGUCUCGUCGUAUAAUAUUAAAGUUGAGCUCAUUUUGUCCGUCGUGAAUUGAAAUGGUCUGACCAUAAAGCCCUAUUGACAGCCGAGCAAAGGAUGCGGACAUGCAGACAACUGAACCGGUUUCAAAAGGUGGGAUUAAUUCCAUUUUGUGUCAAUUAGUCGGCCUGAAUGGAUUCUAAUUCCCAUAAAGCUCUCUGCAAAUAUAACUAACAUUUUAUUUUCUUUUAUUUCCGAGGCCCAAAGGCCACAAUUAUACCUCUUCUCCAACAAAAACCUUUAUUUUCUGUGAUUCCUGUCAAGUAUAGUCGCCAGACUUAAUGCUGUGUCGACAUAAAUGUCAGAUUUAAACAAAAUUCUUGCUUUUAACAAUCCGAUGCGCCUUUAUUGCAACGAAAAACUAAAAAUGUAAUAGAUUUUUCCUCAAGACUCGAUGGUUUGGGCGAUAAUAGUGCCCCCCCUCCCUCCACAUGCACAAUCAAUUCAUUAUUUUAAACUUUAAAUAAUCUCCGAUCGAGCUGAUUGCAUGCAGGUUAUAUCCUCCCAUCAGGACAUCCACAUAUUUCCCAACAUUCAACAGUGGGAUCCUGCAGCCGUGCGCCCUGAGAGCCCCUUUGGGCUGUCAGGCUUGUUGAGUCUGAAUCAGAGCAGACUGUGCUGGUGGUCCUCCGUUCCUUAAUUAGGAAAUUAGCUGCACAGAGGCCCUCAUUACCAAACUCCGGGUUACUCCUGGUGUGUGUGUUUUUUUCUCUUUCUCUCUCUCUCUCUCUCUCUCUCUCUCUCUCUCUCUCUCUCUCUCUCUCUGCUACCGGUCAAUUUCCAUAAGAAGAUUACAAGCGGAUCAGUAUUGAGAUCUGGGCAGAUAAACAAAUAGCCUAACUGGUCCCUGAGAAUAGAUGGCUGCUAAUUGGACGUUAGUUUUAUUGCUCCUGCUCUGUUUGUGACGCCCCAUUGAACGCGAAAAUUAAAUUCAUGAAGUGAUGUCUCUUUUCAGCUGAUUUACUACAACUAUAUGGCUGAGGGGCUAUAGGCGUUCCCUCCCUUUAAAGAUAACAGAGCAGCUAUUUGGGCCUAUGUAUAGACUCAUUUUAGAAGUCAUAAAUAUUAUUGGCAAAUUAAUGUCUGCUUUUGAGUUCUUAGUGUAUUAACCUGUUUUUUUUUUUUUUUUUUUAAAGAAUAUCUACAAAAUACAUUUUAAUGUCCUUAAAUCCAAUUCGCUUUUAGAUGGAUUUUGACAUUUUACUUUGAAAGCGGAAACUUUCAUUCACACUUGGGACUAAAAGAAGGGCAACAAUGACUGACAGACGAGAUCUGUUCAUUGAUAAUUUAAUAGAAGCAGCUCAUUUAAGCCUUUAAAAUAGAGAGAACUACGCUCUUGAUUCAGUGUUUCAACUAAAGAACAAAUCCAGGUCUUUACGAUGAGAAAUGACAGCCUGCUUUUAGAGAAUAAAAGUCUGUUCGGUGGACCCACCGCCCUGCAAUCUCUCAUAAAAUUCAGGAGGCCCUACAGUAAAGCUCCGGGAGGUGAAACGCUUUUUUAAAAAAAAAAAAUGCACAUAGGCUACCAGAAUGAUCCCUGCGGAGCUCAUCUAAAUACCGAGGUGUUAAUAGUCGCUUUCGAUGGGCGAUCCUCUCGGAAUCAUUAGCAGGUGUGAGGCUUUGCCCUGUUGAGCGAUGGGUUUCAGCGGCGUUUAGGGUCGUUUGUAAGGAGACACAUGCAAAACGAAGUCAUCAUUUUAAUAACCAUUAACACCGCGGAGGGAAAACAAGUCGGCAAACAGGAGCUGGCGAUCUGCAGUCGCUCACACAAACCGAGAGAACUUUUUCCCCUCUGGGAUUAAAGAGAUGGCCCGUCCCCUCCACAAGAGGUCGUUGAUGCAUUAAAGUUUUGCAUUGUGGCUCUCUCUCCCUUCCUCCCACCCUCCUCCUCUCUCACACUGCAACAACAUCCACAUUAACGUGCCAUUAACUUCAUCUGAAGCUGAGUAUUGUUGACGUAUUUUAAAAGCAUGUUGAUGUAGUUUUAUCAGAUGUUGGUAUUAGUUCAUUUACUUGCAUUUAUUAUUAAUAUUUUAUUUAUACUGGUGGCGUUAUCCGCCUUAUUCUUUUUUAUUUCAGUAGCCUACAUUUCCACACUAGAGGAUGUUCUCUCACAGGAGUUAAAUUACAUUGGAGGGAAACUGAUUUAUUUAAGGCCCUCUGAAUGUGUUUAUAUAAAGGGAAAAUUCAUACAACGCCGAAGCAAAAAUAAAUACAUUUUAAGAAAAACUUCCGAGUAGGUGGUCCACAAGGUUUCCGAAAUAUUUUAAGGACUUCUGUUUAAAAGGAAAAAAAAGAUAUCGGUGCAUUGAAGUCUUUGACAGCACCGAAAUCCUUAUCCUUAUCCUUAAAAUAAGAAAUAAUAUUUUCUGAAAAUGUGAUUAAAGCAACAAAAGGCAUGUUUGACAGCAGGUGGAGAUGAAAGGAUUUCUCUCUGCCAAGGGCACAUUUUAUUCCAAUAUUCCACCUUUUGCUUGAACUAUUUAAACUAAUUUUAGGCGUGUUUUUUUUUUUUUACCUGUUGAGAUUUGCCUCUGUAGCUAAUUGAUUUAUUUACACUGAUCCCUAAGACUUGUGUUUCCCUGCAGCAUACAUUACAUAGAUGGCAUAUGCUCUUUUUAAAUUGUAUAAAAGGUGUAGCCUAGCCUAGGUUGAUGGUUCUACACAGUGUUUAUAACUUUUGGUUUAAAAGGUUUGACUCUUUUUGUUUUAUUCAACAAUUUCAGUCCAAAAAUGUAGAGAAAAAAAGUUUAAAAAGUAACAAUUUGAUCUAAUCUAAUCUAAUUUGUUCCUAAAUGAUCCUGAUGCGAUCAGCCAAUACCUGUUCAAUAACAAAAAUCGAUCGAGUGCAUUUCCCGUUAACCACUCAUCUAUAUUCUCGGAUUAUAAAGGUUGUAAAUCUCUAACAUUUAGCGCUCAGGUUGUCGAGCUGCGCUGCUGUUUUAAAACUUUACC